rnacentral:rRNA from 1 species
GGGAGGCAGCAGUGAGGAAUUUUCCGCAAUGGGCUAAAGCCUGACGGAGCGACGCCGCGUGAAGGAUGAAGGUUUUCGGACUGUAAACUUCUUUUAUGUGGGAAGAUUAUGACGGUACCACAUGAAUAAGCACCGGCUAACUACGUGCCAGCAGCCGCGGUAAUACGUAGGGUGCAAGCGUUAUCCGGAAUUACUGGGCGUAAAGAGUGCGUAGGUGGUCUUUUAAGUUAGAUGUUAAAUAUGCAGGCUUAACUUGCAUGCUGCAUUUAAUACUGGAAGACUUGAGAGUGGAAGGGGCAGACGGAAUUUACGGUGGAGCGGUAAAAUGUGUAGAUAUCGUAAAGAACACCCAUGGCGAAGGCAGUCUGCUGGGCCACUUCUGACACUGAGGCACGAAAGCGUGGGGAGCGAUCGGGAUUAGAUACCCCGGUAGC